GAGGUUCUACUGGGCUGGCUGCCACACAGAGUUGCCACUGUGUGCUCUGUCUGGGAGAGAGGGCCUUUCUUCUUUGACUGGACAGCCCCUCCCCACUGUGGUUUUGGGCUGCUUCAGGCAGGAGAGCGUGGCUGGCCUCAGCUUGCCCUGCUAGUCAGCCUUAGCCUGGCUCAAGGGAGAAGCUUGGGGAACCCCAGAGUUCUGUGCAAACAUCCCUGAAGCUUCAAGAUUGGACCCCUUAGACAGGAGCCCUUCCAUCCUCUGCCAAAUGCAGAGCAGGAGACUGAGGGCUGGGCAGGACUUCUGAGUUUCCUUGUUCCCUCCAGCUUGGGUGUCCUUGGACUCGUUGCCCUGGUUCUCAGAGCCGUGUUGUCCUGAUUGUGGAUAACAACAGUGCCCCCUUGGCCUCACCUUCACAUGGGUGUGAGCAGCGCCAGGCCCCCUAACACUGUCCCCUCCCUCCCCAGGAGCGCUGCACUCCAUGCUGGGGGCCAUGGACAAGCGGGUGUCUGAGGAGUGCGCAGCUGGCGCCUUCGCCUACCUACGGGAGCACUUCCCUCAAGCCUACAGCGUCGACAUGAGCCGCCAGAUCCUUACGCUCAACGUCAACCUCAUGCUGGGCCAGGCUCAGGAGUGCCUCCUGGAGAAGUCGAUGUUGGACAACAGGAAGAGUUUUCUAGUGGCCCGCAUCAGUGCACAGGUAGGGACGGGGCUGAGGGGAGGCCUUCACUUUACUGCUGAUCCCCCCACUCAUUGGGCCCCACCCUGUUCUCAGGUGGUAGAUUACUACAAGGAGGCAUGCCGGGCCUUGGAGAACCCUGACACUGCCUCACUGCUGGGCCGGAUCCAGAAGGACUGGAAGAAGCUUGUGCAAAUGAAGAUCUACUACUUUGCAGCUGUGGCUCAUCUGCACAUGGGAAAGCAGGCCGAGGAGCAGCAGAAGUUCGGGGAGCGG
rnacentral:sRNA from 1 species